UACGAAGGGGCGAGCGUUGUUCGGAUUACUGGGCGUAAAGGGCGCGUAGGCGGCGGGCCAAGUCGAGUGUGAAAGCCCCGGGCUCAACCUGGGAGGUGCGCUCGAGACUGGUUUGCUGGAGUUCGGGAGAGGAGCGUGGAAGUUCCCAGUGUAGAGGUGAAAUUCGUAGAUAUUGGGAAGAACACCGGUGGCGAAGGCGGCGCUCUGGACCGAGACUGACGCUGAGGCGCGGAAAGGCGGUGGGGAGCAAACAGG
rnacentral:rRNA from 1 species